UACCGCUGCAUCUGCUGUUCCAGAUCUUCAAGGUCGAUACGACAAGAUCCCUAGCGAUGUUGAAUCAAAGCUUUUGCCAUUUCAGCGAGAAGGUGUUAGGUUUAUAUUGCAGCAUGGAGGUCGUGCUCUUUUAGCAGAUGAAAUGGGACUUGGGAAAACAUUGCAGGCAAUU